rnacentral:misc_RNA from 1 species
CCAAGAACUUACGGUAUUUAUAACUAAUCUAGAGACAACAAAACAAUGUAUCAAAGAAAGAAACUACACAACAAAAUGAAUUUCUACAAGCAUGAAGCAUUAGCCCUCAAAGCGCUAACAGGCUACCAAAUAUGCUUUCGAAUUUAAAAGUAAACCAUCUUUCUAAAAAUUAAUCAUUUCUCAACCUCUGCUCUAAUUAGAUAACGCACCUACAAGAUGAUCACUACAAUUUUCUAUAGUUUGAUUCUGUUCUUUUACUGCAAUAAAUAAAUUCAAAAUAACAAAAAUUGAAAACAAUAAAUCCUGGGAAUAGCACCGAGAACUUCAUCGUGUAGCUUGUGCCUGUGCGUGAUCUAAAAGUUGACUGACUAACUUGUAAGUACGCCCUGACAAUGCCUUGGUGUGAUCUAUCAACUGCUCAU